rnacentral:tRNA from 2 species
UGGGGUAUGGUGUAAUCGGUAACACAGCUGAUUCUGGUUCAGCCAUUCUAGGUUCAAGUCCUGGUACCCCAG